GUCUGCAACCAUACCACCCUGAAUGCGCCCAAUCUCAUCUGAUCUCGGAAGCUAAGCAGGGUCGGGCCUGGUUAGUACUUGGGUAGGAGAGAUGACCAGAGGAUGGAGACA
rnacentral:rRNA from 1 species